GACACAGAGAUUAGCAUGGCCCCUCCACAAGGAUGACACGCACAUUCAUGAAGCAUUCCAUUUUUUC
rnacentral:snRNA from 1 species